rnacentral:piRNA from 1 species
UCUCUAGCAAAAAGAGUUCUUUCAUGGGU